rnacentral:ncRNA from 1 species
CGAAAUUUUUGUCCACAGUUAAAACUGAAAGGGUUUGGCGGUAAAUUAAAUUCGUCCGGGGGAACGUGUUCAUUAAAGAGAUGGUCCGCUAAUUAUUUUACUAUAAUUAGAUUCGUUAGUGUAUAUCCGUUUAUAUAUUUACGUUUAGAGACAAUAAGUGAGUAAAUAUUAUGUAAUUUAAGACAGGUCUAUAUGCUGCUAAUAUUAUAGGUUGUUAUGCGUUACAUUAAUAAGAGUGGUAGGUGAAAUCUAUCUAGAUUUAGGACUCGGAAGUAGGGGUGUAGUAGUAUGGCACCUCGAAGCUUGAAAUAAUUUACGUACACAUCGCCCGACAAUCUCGGUAGUGAACUGAGUUAAGUCGUAACAUGGUAGUGCUUGAAGAAUCAGGCGCUA